GGAGUCCCUGAGAAAGACUGUAGCGUCAUCUGCCAAUUGACUAAUGAGGAUUUGUUGUUGCUCAGCAAUCAAAAUACCCUGCAACUCACUUUCCAACAAGGAGGUUGAAAGGAGUUGCGAGGUGUGGGGAGAUUGAACAGCCCUGUCUAAUCGCGGGAGAUGGACCGAACGUCGGACAAGUCCCUUUGCUUUUCUCAGACAUCAUUUUAACGUCGCGCCUCAGCUGUGCGUUAUGACGUCACCGCGCAUACGUAAAACCCUACGCGACGAACCCGGAUGUGUAGGACUUCCGGGAUCAAUCUAGUAGUGUCGGUACGUGGUGUGCGGUCAGGGUACGGCAUUCUUUUCUUUCUUUUUUGUUGCGCAAAACGGCUUCCUGCGGCACCGCUGCUGCUCUCGUCACGCAGAACUGGGAAACUCGAGGCUUCGGAGAAGCACCCGAGCCACGAUGGCGUCCCGACAGGAUGGAACCCAGCAGCAGUCCGCUUGCCCGAAGGCCCUCGAUGUCAAGCGGAAGGAGGCUCUCGAUGCCUUCGAGCUGUACGUCCCCGAGGAGGCGGAGGUCCGUACUGUUCCCGUUAAGAUGUUGCCCCUGUCCGUCCUGAAGAGGAUGGGCCGGUUAGCCGCGCUGGGCAAAAAGAACGGCCUGACCGAGGGCGAUGGCAGUCUGACUGCCACCUGGAUCUCCCCUGUGGUUGUCAGGGAGAGAAGCGCCCCUCACGGGUGCGGUGACAACAGUGCGGCCAAGGACAGGCUCUCCAAGCUUGCCAUGGUGUCAGCUACACAGCUGUUCCACUAUUGGCUGCCCAUUACCUGUUCGAACCUUGUGGCAUUCAAAGUGCUCAAGCAGUUUUUACCAUCUGGGCAUGACCAGCAGAAUGACCCUGAGAAAGAGAUGAUGCAGAAAGCCAGCCAGGUCCCACCUCUGCACCAGGGUGGUCCCCUCACCUUCACCCAGGACUCCAUCAUCAUACUCAGCGGGCAGAGCUUCCUGUUUAUCAAGAAGCUGCGCCAAGCGAUGAGUUCCAGAAACUGCCGUCAGUCUUCUGCAUCGUGCAUUGGGACUCUGACGGCUGCUGAACGCCUCGAACUUGGCAGUGGGCCGUCGUGUCCGAGGUGUGGACGCAGUAGCUCCGUUGUGAAGGGCCUGGAUGCGGAGUCCCAGGACAUCAGUGAGCAGCAGCGGUUCAGCAUCACCCAGAAUGUGCACGUGGCUCUGAAAAGAAUAGCUGCCACUGAUGUAGGGAAAGACAGUGGUGCAGCACCUGUGAAUCCUUGCAGUUCCAGCGAGAAUCAGGAUGGCCAAAUGUCCCCCUCUAUUGGCACAUCUACAGAACAGCAUUCCAGCAGUGUAGCGGAGGAAGAUGCAUCCGAUGGACAGGCUUUGCAAGGGAGUGAACAGGUUCAAGUUCUGGACAGUGGUGAACCACUGGAGGAGGACAUUGGAGAGGAAGACCUUGCAGAACCUGCAUUAAAGAAAGCAAGACUGACCGUGCCUUCAGACUUUCUAUCAAACUGUGCUGAACUGCUUGAUGAGGGCUCAGGAGUGUGUGAGGAAGAUGGCAGCAAGUGUGAACACCAGACUCGAGACGGGGACACUGGGGUUCAGGGUGGAGCGGCGGCGCCUACAGUAGAAAAUGAGGAACAACAGAAUACCUGUGGAAGCUGGUCCGAGGGCGAGGGUCAGGCUAAUGCAGGAGACCAGAGUUCCCAUGUAUCGUCAUAUUUCUCUUCGUCUGCCCUGGAAGACACAGUGGCGUUUGACUUUGAGCAGCUGGCGAGGGAGGAAAGGAUCAACCGGAUUCGAGAGAGACUCCGGGAAAAGGAGGCUGCUCUCAGAAGAAUGGAGCCCCUCAGCUGAACGGUCCACUGUUUUGUGUCUUAUCUGUGCUGGAAAUAUGGUGCAAAGGCCUGAGCCCCAUAUCCAUGCUGGAGAGGGAGAACAUCUGAUGUGUGCAAUGAAAUGCUGGAUCCUUUAAUAGUUGGUUCCAUCAUUCUUAUGGUACAGUGUGUUUAAGGGGUGGACAGUUGCGAGAUGCGCACCUAUGGACAUUUUUAUGACUGGAGUAGCUGCCUACCUGCUCCAGCCUCACAUUAAUACACUGAGUGUGAAGGACUUUAUUUUUUUUCUUUUCAAAGUGUCAUUUCUUGGGUAGAGAUGACGACAGAGUGGUGUGUAGAGUCAUGUCAGUAAUUCGUCGCGUUGAAGGCGUUAAAUUGAGCCUCUUGUUUUUGUUGACUCUGUAUUAUCGCCUGUUUUCUGUACUCUGUGCACUCUGUCCUUGCGCAAUAAAUGCGAGAACACUUGCCUGGCA
ensembl:lncRNA